GACGAACGCUGGCGGCGUGCUUAACACAUGCAAGUCGAACGGUGAUCCUCUGGUCUUCGGGCUGGGGGUGAUGAGUGGCGAACGGGUGAGUAACACGUGAGUAACCUGCCCCCUUCUUCUGGAUAACCUCAUGAAAGUGGGGCUAAUACGGGAUAUUCUGGUCUGUCUGCAUGGGUGGGCUGGGAAAGGUUUUUUCUGGUGGGGGAUGGGCUCGCGGCCUAUCAGCUUGUUGGUGGGGUGAUGGCCUACCAAGGCUUUGACGGGUAGCCGGCCUGAGAGGGUGGACGGCCACACUGGGACUGAGACACGGCCCAGACUCCUACGGGAGGCAGCAGUGGGGAAUAUUGCACAAUGGGCGCAAGCCUGAUGCAGCGACGCCGCGUGAGGGAUGACGGCCUUCGGGUUGUAAACCUCUUUCGCCAGUGAAGCAGCCGCCUUCUUCUUGGGGGUGGUGACGGUAGCUGGAUAAGAAGCGCCGGCUAACUACGUGCCAGCAGCCGCGGUAAUACGUAGGGCGCGAGCGUUGUCCGGAAUUAUUGGGCGUAAAGGGCUCGUAGGCGGCUGGUCGCGUCUGUCGUGAAAACCCUCGGCUUAACCGGGGGCUUGCGGUGGGUACGGGCCGGCUUGAGUGCGGCAGGGGAGACUGGAAUUCCUGGUGUAGCGGUGGAAUGCGCAGAUAUCAGGAGGAACACCGGUGGCGAAGGCGGGUCUCUGGGCCGUUACUGACGCUGAGGAGCGAAAGCGUGGGGAGCGAACAGGAUUAGAUACCCUGGUAGUCCACGCCGUAAACGUUGGGCACUAGGUGUGGGGGCUCUUUCCGGGGUCUCCGCGCCGUAGCUAACGCAUUAAGUGCCCCGCCUGGGGAGUACGGCCGCAAGGCUAAAACUCAAAGGAAUUGACGGGGGCCCGCACAAGCGGCGGAGCAUGCGGAUUAAUUCGAUGCAACGCGAAGAACCUUACCAAGGCUUGACAUGUGGGCGGCCGGCGCGGAGACGUGCCUUCCCUUUUUGGGCGCCCUCACAGGUGGUGCAUGGUUGUCGUCAGCUCGUGUCGUGAGAUGUUGGGUUAAGUCCCGCAACGAGCGCAACCCUUGUCCCGUGUUGCCAGCACGUCGUGGUGGGGACUCGCGGGAGACUGCCGGGGUCAACUCGGAGGAAGGUGGGGAUGACGUCAAAUCAUCAUGCCCCUUAUGUCUUGGGCUUCACGCAUGCUACAAUGGCCGGUACAGAGGGUUGCGAUGUCGUGAGGCGGAGCGAAUCCCUUAAAGCCGGUCUCAGUUCGGAUCGGUGUCUGCAACUCGACACCGUGAAGUUGGAGUCGCUAGUAAUCGCAGAUCAGCAACGCUGCGGUGAAUACGUUCUCGGGCCUUGUACACACCGCCCGUCACGUCAUGAAAGUCGGCAACACCCGAAGCCCGUGGCCCUACGGGGAGCGGUCGAAGGUGGGGCUGGUGAUUGGGACG
rnacentral:rRNA from 1 species